rnacentral:rRNA from 1 species
GAUGAACGCUGGCGGCGUGCCUAAUACAUGCAAGUCGAGCGAACGGACGAGAAGCUUGCUUCUCUGAUGUUAGCGGCGGACGGGUGAGUAACACGUGGAUAACCUACCUAUAAGACUGGGAUAACUUCGGGAAACCGGAGCUAAUACCGGAUGAUAUUUUGAACCGCAUGGUUCAAAAGUGAAAGACGGUCUUGCUGUCACUUAUAGAUGGAUCCGCGCUGCAUUAGCUAGUUGGUAAGGUAACGGCUUACCAAGGCAACGAAGGAUAGCCGACCGGGGAGGAGGACCCGCCACACCGGGACUGAGACACGGCCCAGACUCCUACGGGAGGCCGCCGUGGGGAAUUUUGCCCAAUGGGCGCAAGCCUGAUCGAGCAAAGCCGCGUGAAGGAAGAAGGGCUUCGGGUUGUAAAACCCUUUUUUUCGGGAAGAAACGGCUCUGUAGAAAACGGGGCGCUAAUGACGGUACCUAAUCAGAAAGCCACGGCUAACUACGUG